rnacentral:lncRNA from 1 species
CAGUCUCCCAAAGUGCUGGGAUUACAGGCAUGAGCCACCAUGCCGGGCUUGAAAAAUAUUUUCUGUAAAGCAUUUCUACCAUAACUUCUUGAGACUUAAAACAGAGAAAAACAUAUUCAUUGAGAAAAUGCAGUUUUGAUUUUUUAUUGUUUAGAUCAAGAAUACGAACAUUGAAACCAAUUACUCAUAAAGGGUGCUUCCUCUAGACCUUCUUAUUGUCCUGAAUUCCUAUUUCAUUAGCAAAAGUACAUUUACAUGAAAUAUAUAUAUAUAUAUAUAUAUAUAUAUUUCAUAUAUAUGAAUCUGGCAUAAAUAUGGAUGCAUACUUCCCAUUAUUAAAAUUAGAAUUCUUUAAACAAAACAAAAUUUUCCUCUAUUUUCAAUUCUUGUCACUUCUGCCAUUUGCUGCUUGAAGUCCUUAAAAAAUAUUAUGUCUUCUGAAUGCUUUCUAAGACUAUAGAGAAUAUUGGUUGAAUGAGGUUUAGAGUUGGCUAAAGGAGGGCUUUUUUGACCAGAAGUUGAUUCUCUGAAGUUUUUUGUGUGUCUUUAACUUGUUUUUUUCCACUGAUUAAUCUUUCAUAGUAUGUAGUUAUAAUGGUAACCAUCACGUACAUCUGACCUACAAUAAAGAAGAAAAUGGACAGAAAAAAGAUUAUUAACUUUUCUUCCUUUUUUGUUCUUCUGUAGGUCUCAUUCCUGUCAGUUAGACUUGAGGUCAUGCUAUUUCCUGUUGGGGUCACGAGGAUGAAUUAGUGAUUAGACACUUAGGUGCUGGACUCAAAGGGACCUGGCUCCAUCACAUGCAAACUUUUUGUAAAAGAAGAAGGAUGGGUGUAUUCUUUCUUGUUCUACUGCUAGUUUAAAGAACAGGCGACUUCCCUGCUCAGAUUCCAAAUUCCUUAGGAAAACAAGAAGCGACAACAAAACCACACCAGUAACUUCCACUCACAUGUCAGUUUUAAAACAACUUGGGAAAGACAGAGUCUCUGCUUGCUCUGUCACCCAGUUUGGAGGGC